UGCCCAUCAUAAGGGGAUAACACUUGGAAACAGGUGCUAAUACCGUAUAACAAUCAAAACCGCAUGGUUUUGAUUUGAAAGGCGCUUUCGGGUGUCGCUGAUGGAUGGACCCGCGGGGCAUUAGCUAUUUGGUGAGGUAACGGCUCACCAAGGCCACAAUGCAUAACCGACCUGAGAGGGUGAUCGGCCACAUUGGGACUGAGACACGGCCCAAACUCCUACAGGAGGCAGCAGUAGGGAAUCUUCGGCAAUGGACGAAAGUCUGACCGAGCAACGCCGCGUGAGUGAAGAAGGUUUUCGGAUCGUAAAACUCUGUUGUUAGAGAAGAACAAGGAUGAGAGUAACUGUUCAUCCCUUGACGGUAUCUAACCAGAAAGCCACGGCUAACUACGUGCCAGCAGCCGCGGUAAUACGUAGGUGGCAAGCGUUGUCCGGAUUUAUUGGGCGUAAAGCGAGCGCAGGCGGUUUCUUAAGUCUGAUGUGAAAGCCCCCGGCUCAACCGGGGAGGGUCAUUGGAAACUGGGAGACUUGAGUGCAGAAGAGGAGAGUGGAAUUCCAUGUGUAGCGGUGAAAUGCGUAGAUAUAUGGAGGAACACCAGUGGCGAAGGCGGCUCUCUGGUCUGUAACUGACGCUGAGGCUCGAAAGCGUGGGGAGCAAACAGGAUUAGAUACCCUGGUAGUCCACGCCGUAAACGAUGAGUGCUAAGUGUUGGAGGGUUUCCGCCCUUCAGUGCUGCAGCUAACGCAUUAAGCACUCCGCCUGGGGAGUACGACCGCAAGGUUGAGACUCACAGGAAUUGACGGGAGCCCGCACAAGCGGUGGAGCAUGUGGUUUAAUUCGAAGCAACGCGAAGAACCUUACCAGGUCUUGACAUCCUUUGACCACUCUAGAGAUAGAGCUUCACCUUCGGGGGCAAAGUGACAGGUGGUGCAUGGUUGUCAUCAGCUCGUGUCGUGAGAUGUUGGGUUAAGUCUCGCAACGAGCGCAACCCUUAUUGUUAGUUGCCAUCAUUCAGUUGGGCACUCUACCAAGACUGCCGGUGACAAACCGGAGGAAAGUGGGGGAUGACGUCAAAUCAUCAUGCCCCUUAUGAC
rnacentral:rRNA from 1 species